rnacentral:rRNA from 1 species
AGGCAGCAGUGGGGAAUAUUGCACAAUGGGCGCAAGCCUGAUGCAGCCAUGCCGCGUGUGUGAAGAAGGCCUUCGGGUUGUAAAGCACUUUCAGUCGUGAGGAAGGUGGUGUAGUUAAUAGCUGCAUCAUUUGACGUUAGCGACAGAAGAAGCACCGGCUAACUCCGUGCCAGCAGCCGCGGUAAUACGGAGGGUGCGAGCGUUAAUCGGAAUUACUGGGCGUAAAGCGCAUGCAGGUGGUUAGUUAAGUCAGAUGUGAAAGCCCGGGGCUCAACCUCGGAACUGCAUUUGAAACUGGCUGACUAGAGUACUGUAGAGGGGGGUAGAAUUUCAGGUGUAGCGGUGAAAUGCGUAGAGAUCUGAAGGAAUACCGGUGGCGAAGGCGGCCCCCUGGACAGAUACUGACACUCAGAUGCGAAAGCGUGGGGAGCAAACAGGAUUAGAUACCCUGGUAGUCCACGCCGUAAACGAUGUCUACUUGGAGGUUGUGGCCUUGAGCCGUGGCUUUCGGAGCUAACGCGUUAAGUAGACCGCCUGGGGAGUACGGUCGCAAGAUUAAAACUCAAAUGAAUUGACGGGGGCCCGCACAAGCGGUGGAGCAUGUGGUUUAAUUCGAUGCAACGCGAAGAACCUUACCUACUCUUGACAUCCAGAGAACUUAGCAGAGAUGCUUUGGUGCCUUCGGGAACU